GAUCCUGGCUCAGGACGAACGCUGGCGGCGUGCUUAACACAUGCAAGUCGAACGGACCUUAAAAAACAGAUCUUUUCGGAGUGAAGUUUUUGUAGGUUAGUGGCGGACGGGUGAGUAAUGCGUGGAUAAUCUACCCUGGUUUCUGGGACAACAGCUGGAAACGGCUGCUAAUACCGGAUACGCUCCUAGAGAGGCAUCUCUUUAGGAGGAAAGGAGGCCUCUUAACAAUGCUCCCGAACCGGGAUGAGUCCGCGU
rnacentral:rRNA from 1 species